ensembl:snRNA U2 U2 spliceosomal RNA
AUCAAUUCUUGGCCUUUUGGCGAAGAUCAAGUAUAGUAUGUAUACUUAUUGGUUUAAUAUCUAAUGCCCUCUCUAGUAGCAUGAUAUAUUAAAGGCAUUUUUGGAGUUAGGAGAUGGAAUACUAGCUUGUUUCAUCUACUUCACAAAUUGGCCUAGUACCUAUAGGAAUGGGGCAGCACCA